rnacentral:rRNA from 1 species
CGAACGGGUGAGUAAUGCGUGACCAACCUGCCCCAUGCUCCAGAAUAGCUCUUGGAAACGGGUGGUAAUGCUGGAUGCUCAACUUGACGCAUGUCUUGUUGGGAAAGUGUUUAGUGGCAUGGGAUGGGGUCGCGUCCUAUCAGCUUGUAGGCGGGGUAAUGGCCCACCUAGGCUUCGACGGGUAGCCGGCCUGAGAGGGCGGACGGCCACAUUGGGACUGAGAUACGGCCCAGACUCCUACGGGAGGCAGCAGC